GAGAGAGAGAGAGAGAGAGAGAGAGAGAGAGAGAGAGAGAACCAGAUUUUUAUAAAAAAUCCCAUUUUGAAAUAUUUACGGUUGUGCCACUGGGUUUCUUUUGACCAUAUCUCUCUCGUUACAACUCCGAUUCGAGCCCACUACGUGUCUAUGAACUCGUCUCAGCACGACCUAUCCAAAAAUACAAGUCACGGUCCUAAACUCUCUCCGGCUAAAAAUAUGACUAAAAUACCCUUAAAUAAUUAAAUAAUUAAAUACAGGUUAAAUUUGGGGAAAUUUGGGGUCGGGGUGUUACUCUCUCUCUCUCUCUCUCUCUCUCUCUCUCUCUCUCUCAUCUAAUUU
rnacentral:miRNA from 1 species